UCUAAUUCCAUUAUUCCACUCGUUUAUGUGUUUGAAAUUGGAGUAUAACCACCAUGUAAAUUAUAUUUGUUUCGUACUCACCUAUAAUACAUAUAAUUGCAUUACAUUUGGGAGGAAGACCAAGACUGCACCCUCACGCGCCUCUUUGAUCGAGACCCCAGUCCUCUGGCUUGGCAGGCUCUGCAUCAUCUAUGCCCUCCUUAAGGCUGGGCUGGCUGGAUCUCAUGCCAACCCACUUGUCUCAGAAUUGGAAAUCAGUGACGGCAAUGAUUCUGCUGAUUUAGGGUUCUCUAAAUAGACACAGGCUAUACUUGGAAAACCAGAAACUAAGAGAUGAGCUUACCAGAGCACUAAUGGAGGCAAAUGAGGGUAAUGAUGAUAUAGGAGCUGAGUCAUUCAAUGAACUUAUGAAAGAGUUUACCUAAAAAUAAGACCUUAAGACGUUUGCUUUCAAAACCAAAGCCAUGGUACAUUUAAUGAAUUUGCUUUCGAUAGUUUAAUGUGAUAAAUUGCGUCAUUGAUCCUAAUUUUUGCCACCUGGUUCUUCUAACUGACAAUGUCCUUGCUGCCUCUGUUGUUGUGGCCUCUGCAGUUCAAAAUUUGGAUGCAUUAUCAUAGUAAAGGUACGUGGUUUAAUUUCUCUUCUUCAAAGGGAAUCACUCUA